AGCCAUUAGAUGAUAUUUAUGGUCAAACCUGCCCAAUGUUGUAAUGAAUGGCCGCGGUACCCUGACCGUGCUAAGGUAGCGUAAUCAGUUGGCUUUUAAAUGGAGUCAGGAAUGAAUGGAAAAACCGGGUUUAGCUGUCUCCCUACUACUUUAUUUAAUUUACUGUUUAAGUGAAAAAGCUUAAAUAAAGAAAAGGGACGAGAAGACCCUUAGAAUUUUUUUUUAAGGAGGGAUAAUUUUCUCUAUAAUUUUAUUGGGGCGAUAAGGAAAUAAUUAAAACUUUCCGUUAAAACUUACCAGCCGAUUUUAUUAAGGAAGGAUAAAUUACCUGAGGGAUAACAGCAUAAUUCUACAGUUGAGUUUGUGACCUCGAUGUUGGACUAGGAAACUAACAGGCUAGCCGUUUGUUGUGUGGGUUCUGUUCGAACUUUAAUUCCU
rnacentral:rRNA from 1 species